AUUGAACGCUGGCGGUAUGCUUAAGACAUGCAAGUCGAACGGUAACAGGUUAAGCUGACGAGUGGCGGACGAGUGAGUAACGCGUGGGAAUCUACCUUGUAGUGGGGGAUAAGCCAGGGAAACUUGGACUAAUACCGCAUACGCCCUAAGGGGGAAAGGAGCAAUUCGCUAUAAGAUGAGCCCGCGUCUGAUUAGGUAGUUGGUGGGGUAAAGGCCUACCAAGCCGACGAUCAGUAGCUGGUCUGAGAGGAUAAUCAGCCACGUCGGGACUGAGAUACGGCCCAGACUCCUACGGGAGGCAGCAGUGGGGAAUUUUGGACAAUGGGGGCAACCCUGAUCCAGCCAUGCCGCGUGAGUGAAGAAGGCCUUCGGGUUGUAAAGCUCUUUCGGCCGGGAAGAAAUCGCAUGGGUUAAUACCCUGUGUGGAUGACGGUACCGGCAUAAGAAGCACCGGCUAACUACGUGCCAGCAGCCGCGGUAAGAGUACUCUAU
rnacentral:rRNA from 1 species